GGGGGUUUAGCUCAGUUGGUAGAGCGUUCGCUUAGCACCGUCUAAUUUGCGAAAGGUCGCGUGUUCGACUCAUGCAGUCUCCA
rnacentral:tRNA from 1 species